rnacentral:tRNA from 1 species
GCUCCCGUAUCUCAGGGGAUAGAGCAUUGGUUUCCUAAACCAUGUGCGCAGGUUCGAAUCCUGCCGGGAGCA